rnacentral:tRNA from 2 species
GCCGGCGUAGCACAGUGGUAGUGCAGCGGUUUUGUAAACCGAAGGCCGGGAGUUCGAAUCUCUCCGCCGGCA